GAUGAACGCUGGCGGCGUGCCUAAUACAUGCGAGUCGAGCGAACAGAUGAGGAGCUUGCUCCUCUGACGUUAGCGGCGGACGGGUGAGUAACACGUGGAUAACCUACCUAUAAGACUGGGAUAACUUCGGGAAACCGGAGCUAAUACCGGAUAAUAUAUUGAACCGCAUGGUUCAAUAGUGAAAGACGGUUUUGCUGUCACUUAUAGAUGGAUCCGCGCCGCAUUAGCUAGUUGGUAAGGUAACGGCUUACCAAGGCAACGAUGCGUAGCCGACCUGAGAGGGGGAUCGGCCACACUGGAACUUAGACACGGUCCAGACUCCUACGGGAGGCAGCAGUAGGGAAUCUUCCGCAAUGGGCGAAAGCCUGACGGAGCAACGCCGCGUGAGUGAUGAAGGUCUUCGGAUCGUAAAACUCUGUUAUUAGGGAAGAACAAAUGUGUAAGUAACUAUGCACGUCUUGACGGUACCUAAUCAGAAAGCCACGGCUAACUACGUG
rnacentral:rRNA from 1 species